rnacentral:rRNA from 1 species
UGGGGAAUAUUGGACAAUGGGCGAAAGCCUGAUCCAGCCAUGCCGCGUGUGUGAAGAAGGUCUUCGGAUUGUAAAGCACUUUAAGUUGGGAGGAAGGGCAGUAAGCUAAUACCUUGCUGUUUUGACGUUACCGACAGAAUAAGCACCGGCUAACUCUGUGCCAGCAGCCGCGGUAAUACAGAGGGUGCAAGCGUUAAUCGGAAUUACUGGGCGUAAAGCGCGCGUAGGUGGUUUGUUAAGUUGGAUGUGAAAGCCCCGGGCUCAACCUGGGAACUGCAUCAAAAACUGGCAAGCUAGAGUACGGUAGAGGGUGGUGGAAUUUCCUGUGUAGCGGUGAAAUGCGUAGAUAUAGGAAGGAACACCAGUGGCGAAGGCGACCACCUGGACUGAUACUGACACUGAGGUGCGAAAGCGUGGGGAGCAAACA